UCCAUCUGCUUGGCUCAUGGUCAUGUGCUGUCGUCGUUCCUUUCGUUCUUCCUACAGUACAAAGCUGACUCAGUUUUGCACCAUAGAGAAAUCCAAAACGGAGCCAUCCAUCAAUCAAAUAAAAAAACGUCAGAGUCAGAGAUCUAAUGAUUUUGGCACGUGAUCCAAUCCUUUCAAUUUACAGUUACUGAAAAAGACGCCAUUUUCCCAUCUCAACGGUACUGUAUCAUCACUCUCACUUCAGACAAAUACACCAUAUCUGCAUUUCGCAUUCUACUCUGAAAUUCCACCACGAGUUCAAGCAUCACUGAAAUUCUCAGAAUGGAGCUACUCCAUUGCCCUUCAGCAAUCCCAGUUCGCAAUUGCACCCCAAAAUUCACGAACGCCUCGAAGAAUUGCGCGAAUUUGUUCGGAAAGAGAUUAAAUUCGGUGAAUUUGGGUAGUAUUUUGGUGAAAAUUUUGGACAAAAAUGCGGGAAGGUGUUCUUCAGGGGUUGUGGUUAAUGCGAGGAGUGGUGAUGGCGGUGGUUUAGAGACUGGAGCGGAUACUGCCAUUGUGGUGGAGAAACCUCCGGCAAAACCGAGUCUUUUUGAGGUGUUUGAUGGCUAUCCGUUGCCGUUUGGUGCCACUUCUCGGGAUGGUGGUGUGAAUUUUGCGGUUGCUUCUGGCAGUGCCACGUCAGCUACUCUUUGCUUGAUUCGUCUCUCUGAUCUGCCUGAAAAAAGAGUUACUGAGCAAAUCUUUUUGAGUCCGAUAACGAAUAGGACUGGAGAUGUCUGGCAUGUGUUCUUGAAGGGAGAUUUUCAAGACAUGCUCUAUGGUUACAGAUUUGAUGGGAAAUUUUCUCCUCAAGAAGGACAUUACUUUGAUUCUUCUCAAAUAUUAGUGGAUCCAUAUGCUAAGGCUGUUGUAAGUAGAGGGGACUAUGGUGCUCUUGGACUUGAGGAUGAAUGUUGGCCACCAAUGGCCUGCAUGGUGCCUUCUCUUACUGACAAGUUUGAUUGGGAAGGUGAUUUACCCCUGAAGUUUCCUCAGAGAGAUCUGGUAAUAUAUGAAAUGCAUGUUCGUGGAUUUACAAGGCAUGAGUCAAGUGGAACAGAAUUUCCUGGUACUUACCUCGGUGUCAUUGGAAAACUAGAUUACUUGAAGGAAUCUGUGGUUCUCUCCUUUCAUGAUUGUGGAUGAGCUAGAUAUGUUGCCAUGUUCAGUCCAGUGUGAAACAGCAUCUGGUGGAAUCUAGGUUGGGUGGUUCUGGAUGUGAAUGGGGUAGACAGGAACUUGGUAUCAAUUGUAUAGAGUUAAUGCCAUGUCAUGAGUUCAAUGAGUUGGAGUAUUACAGCCAUAAUUCCAUCUUAGGCGACUAUAAGAUGAACUUCUGGGGGUACUCAACUGUCAAUUUCUUUUCACCGAUGACAAGAUAUUCUUCGGCUGGUGCCCUUAAUUGUGGUCUUGGUGCCAUAGAUGAAUUCAAGUGCCUUGUUAAAGAAGCGCAUAAACGUGGGAUUGAGGUGACAACUUAAUUUACUUAGUGUGAUAUUGCAUUUUUUUUUUAUUGAUUUUUAGCUGCUUUUUCUCUUACUUUAGUUUAACAGGUGAUCAUGGAUGUCGUUUUUAACCACAGUGCUGAAGGGAAUGAGAAUGGUCCCAUAUUAUCCUUUAGAGGUGUAGAUAACAGUGUCUUUUAUAUGCUUGCACCAAAGGGAGAGUUCUAUAAUUAUUCAGGUUGUGGAAACACUUUCAACUGCAACCAUCCCCUUGUCCGUCAAUUUAUAUUGGAUUGCCUGAGGUAAUAUUACUAUGCAUUGUACCUUAUUUGUCUAUAUUUGCAAAUUAGUUAAUUUGUUCUUUGUGCAAUGAGAUUACGGGUAUUGCAAUGAAUCUUCCUCUACAGUUGAUUCAACAAGUCGCUACCUGCAUGUCUGUUUGGGUAUCAAUAGUUUUGUGUGUGUUUGGUCACGAGUGAGACACCAUCCUCGAGCAUAAACAUGUGGUCUAAGAUUUUGCCCUAUGUGCACUAAAUUAAAAUUGAAUAUUGAGAUUGAAACUGAGGGCAGCAAAAGAGUAGUGACAGUUUUGUAAAACCAUCUUUGUCUUGCAUAACAAAGAAAGACAACAGAAAUUUUGGACUCGCAUAAGCACUAGCUUUUAUCAUAUCUACAUUGUGAUGGCAGCAUAAGGCCUGGAGAAGCUGAAGAUUGUACCUUGGCAUGUCAAUUGCAGGGUUUGGCUAGAAGUACUAAACUCAGGCCUUGUUUGAUAACCCAGUUUAGUACUUAAAUUUAAUGGAUUCAGAUCUUAACAUAUUCAGACCGUUUGAUAAUCAAAAAUUAAACAUCUUAAUUAAUUAAGUGGCACUGAAUUUCCUAGGCAAAACUUGCUCCCGAAAUUAAGUGAAACUAUUCACUUAUCACUGAAUGUGAUAUGCACUCAAAUGUAUUAGAUUUAAUAUUUAACAAUUCAAUAACUUAAUCGAUUCAGAUUUCAGACUUCAGUUUUAUCAAACACACCCUCAGAUUUGGAGCCAUAAAAUUUACUUUGACCCAAUUCAAGACUGUGAUUUCAGACUUGUAGGGCUCUAGAUACCUACUGUGUAUCCACAAGUGUCAAUAAUAUUGUCUUAGUAAAUUAUAAGAACUUCAAAAUUGUUUGAACAUAGAUGAGAACCAUGAAAAUAUAAGCUUUGUUUCUAUGUAAAUCUAAUAGAAGCAAUGCCUUUGAAUAACAGAACCAUUCUGUGUUCAAGGAUUAUUCAAAAGCAUAAUUGUGAUCUUGUGUUUUGUAUAUCUUAUGGAAAUUAUUCUACUGGAAGUCAUGUAAAGAAAACAAAAAUAAGGAUGUUUUAGUGUUCUCAAAAACCACUUUUAAUAGAUAAUAUUUGUUGAACAAUGUAAUAUACUAGAUGAAAUUGCAUUAAAGGAUGUUUCUUCUUUUUAUUAGUUGUCAUGUACAGAUACAUCGACGACAACAUGCACACACAUGAAUUAAAUGGUUUUGGCUUUUCAUAUGUGUUGGGUUCGGGCCUCGUAGUAUGGAGUUGGUAUGCUGAUGCCUAAUUCUCGUUUGGGCUUCAUGUCAAAGCAGGAUAAAAGUAUCUUGGAUCCGAAUAACAAUUGAUCCAGGAGAUGCCUAAGUGUUGAUUUCCUCGAUUUUGUAGCUAGUAGUGGAUAUUUGGGUUUAAUGGUAUCUUGUGUUUUUUUUCUUUUGUUACUUGGAACUAAAUGAGAUUUGUUGUACCUGUUUGGGAUAAAAGUGGCAAUAAAGACUUUUAGUAUGAGAUUGAUCUGUCUUUCCAUCUGAUUUCCUGUUUGAUUAUCUCAGACUGUUUGUAAACCCAUUGAAAAUAUCCAGCAGGAAGGUGGUUCUUCAGAUUUUCUUGAAUUUUAUUACGUUUCUGCCAAAUCCAUCGCAGUUUGCUGAACCAAUGGCUAGCAAAUUUAUUUAGAACAAUAAUUCAAAGGGCUUAUAAGGCUGGUCAGUCUUUUGUCACUGGUCAAGUGUGCUAUUGGUAGCUUUGCUUACUGCUAACUACAGGUGCGGGGUUUAACACUGCUGUCUCCUUUCCUUAUGUAUCAGAAGGCUGCUUGGCCUAUAACCUUAGGGAUCAGCCAUCACCAACUCAUACAUUCAUAGACAUAGAAGCAUGGAACUCCUAUCAGAUUAGAUGGGGCACUUGCCUCUUGUAAGAUUUUAGACAUGAUACUACAUGUUUGUACAAUGUAGUUAGAUGCUGUAUCCUGUUAAAUCAUCAAUGGAAUUAUAUUCUGCAACAAUUUAUGAUUUUAGUGCUGAAGUUAAACAUGAAUAUAAAGCUUGUUUAUCAGUUGUUUGUGCUCUUUCAUCCUUAAUAUUCAUUUGGAUCCUGCUGUUUGCUUUUUCAUUUUUGGAUGCUCAUUACCUUGACUUUUUUCUGCCUUAAAUUUAUGUAAUUAACUCUUGCCAAGGCUUGUUUUCAGCUAAAUGAAGAAACAAAUCUGGCUUGAGCAACCACCCCACAGUUGGAAAACAUAUCCAAGAAAUUAUGUAACCUAUGUUUUUAGAUCAAAUUUUCCCUUUUACUUGGAGAAGAAAUUGCUAAUGUUUUGUAGAUCUCCUACUUAGAAGUACUCCCUUUAUUUUUUUUCCCUGGCUAGUGUUGGGGAGGUUAGAAUUAGCUUCAUUGUGGAACACGUGCUUUCUCUCUCUCUCUCUCUCUCCUUUUUUUUUUGCAUGUCGUCUGUUGUACCAGUAUACUCCCAUGAUUAUUCUAUCUUUAUCUUUUUCAAAAUUCUGAUAUUUCAACAGAUACUGGGUAACAGAGAUGCAUGUAGAUGGCUUUCGCUUUGAUCUUGCUUCUAUCCUGACAAGAAGCAGCAGCCUCUGGGAUGCAGCUAAUGUGUAUGGAAAGUCAGUUGAAGGUGAUACUCUCACAACUGGUUCUCCUCUCAGCAGCCCUCCGUUGAUUGAUAUGAUUAGUAACGAUCCAAUACUACGUGGAGCAAAGCUUAUAGCUGAAGCAUGGGAUUGUGGAGGACUCUACCAAGUUGGCAAGUUUCCUCAUUGGGGUAUUUGGUCAGAGUGGAAUGGGAAGUACCGUGACACUGUGAGGCAGUUCAUAAAGGGUACAGGUGGGUUUGCAGGAGCUUUUGCUGAAUGUCUUUGUGGGAGCCCUAACUUAUACCAGGAAGGUGGAAGGAAACCAUGGAACAGUAUUAAUUUUGUAUGUGCUCAUGAUGGCUUUACUUUGGCUGAUUUAGUGACAUAUAAUAACAAACACAACACAGCAAAUGGAGAAGAUAAUAAAGAUGGGGAGAAUCACAAUAACAGUUGGAACUGUGGUCAGGAAGGAGAGUUUGCUAGUAUCUCUGUAAAGAAACUGAGGAAACGGCAGAUGCGGAACUUCUUCCUCUGUCUUAUGGUUUCCCAAGUAAGAAAGUUUAUCAUGACCCUCUUGACCAAUAUUGUAUUAUCUUAUUAUAUAUGGAGGGAGAGAGCUUGCAUUGGUGUAAACAAUUUAUAUCACUUUAUGUUAUACCAAAAAUAUGCUUUAAAGUUAGUUUUCAAACUAUCCACAUCCCCCUCUUUUUUCUCCACCAUGAUUUUAAAUACAAUAACUUCCUCCAAAGAAAAAGUAGUAAUUAUAAAUUUUUCAUAUACACAUGUACAUGUCUUACCAUGAUAUGUAAUAACAUAAUGUGGAAAAACUACAAUCAUACAUAUUUUGAAAAAAGCAACCAAAAGCACUAGUUCAAGUUAAAAUGGCUUGGCUGUUUACUGGAUAUCUGAGUUCUUUGAUUUCCUCCUGUAUCAGCAAUUGGCCAACAAUCAGCCUGUCCUAACGUAAGAUAUGUAGAUAUAGCUGCAUUUAGUUUAAGCACUUGUCUUUCCAGCCUGUUAUCCAGUUUUGUGCUGGGCUUGCACGUUGCUUGUGUCCUUGGGACCAUCUUUUGGUUAUCUCUGGCAAUUUUUUAAUGCAACUAUGAUUCACUUUUCUGUUUGUCAACCAGGGUGUUCCAAUGAUCUAUAUGGGUGAUGAGUAUGGUCACACUAAAGGAGGAAACAACAACACAUAUUGCCAUGACAAUUAUGUAUAGUGAUUUUCUGAUAUAGAAACUUUUAUUCUGUUAACCUUUUGAUCUUUAUGGACCAACUGUGGCUGUUGCUGUAGAUUAAUUACUUCCGGUGGGAUAAAAAAGAAGAAUCCUCAUCUGACUUUUUCAGAUUUUGCUGCCUUGUAACCAAGUUUCGCCAUGAAUGUGAGUCACUUGGCUUGAACAAUUUCCCAACAGCAGAGCGGCUGCAGUGGCAUGGUCAUGCUCCUGGAUUACCAGACUGGUCAGAAACAAGCCGAUUCGUUGCUUUUACACUGACUGAUUCAGUAAAGGGAGAACUUUAUGUUGCCUUCAAUGCUAGCCAUUUACCCGUCACCAUUGCAUUGCCAGAACGGCCGGGUUAUAGGUGGGAACCCUUGGUGGACGCUGCCAAGCCUGCACCAUUUGACUUUCUCUCCAAUGAUCUUCCAGAGAGAGAAACUGCGAUUCAACAGUAUGCUCAUUUUCUUGAUUCCAAUCUGUACCCCAUGCUUAGUUAUUCUUCAGUUAUUCUGUUACUAUCUUCUGAUGAUAGUGCUUGAGUCACUCUAAGCUCCUACCUUAAAUAGCAACAUUGGUAAGUCCUGAGAUGCAGUUCCAGGCCCUCAAAAUGGGUACAUGUAUAUGGAGAGAGAGUAGUGCUGCAGCUGGAAAAGAAAUUAGGUACGUCCAAGUAAGUGGUGUCCGUGUAUAAUGUUCAGGUGUCCAUGAAUCUUUAUAGCUAAUGGAUAGAUGAUGUAGCCAGUGCAGAACUCGUUAAUAAUUUGACAUAUAGAUGAAUGAGAUCGUGACCUGCACAAUUCGUUUGCAGCACUGGCAGAAAAUAAAUUGGGGAAAGCAUUCAGAUGGAUGUAAAAAUCGAAUGGAUUGAGACUGAUAUGUUCCAUUUUUUCCCCUAUGGAUGGAAUCUGUUUGGAAAUUGAAGAAAACAGUUCUUUA